rnacentral:rRNA from 1 species
UGGGGAAUCUUCGGCAAUGGACGAAAGUCUGACCGAGCAACGCCGCGUGAGUGAAGAAGGUUUUCGGAUCGUAAAACUCUGUUGUUAGAGAAGAACAAGGACGUUAGUAACUGAACGUCCCCUGACGGUAUCUAACCAGAAAGCCACGGCUAACUACGUGCCAGCAGCCGCGGUAAUACGUAGGUGGCAAGCGUUGUCCGGAUUUAUUGGGCGUAAAGCGAGCGCAGGCGGUUUCUUAAGUCUGAUGUGAAAGCCCCCGGCUCAACCGGGGAGGGUCAUUGGAAACUGGGAGACUUGAGUGCAGAAGAGGAGAGUGGAAUUCCAUGUGUAGCGGUGAAAUGCGUAGAUAUAUGGAGGAACACCAGUGGCGAAGGCAGCUCUCUGGUCUGUAACUGACGCUGAGGCUCGAAAGCGUGGGGAGCAAACAGG